UACGGAGGAUCCGAGCGUUAUCCGGAUUUAUUGGGUUUAAAGGGUGCGUAGGCGGUUUGAUAAGUUAGAGGUGAAAUGUCGGGGCUCAACCCCGAAACUGCCUCUAAUACUGUUGGACUAGAGAAUAGUUGCGGUAGGCGGAAUGUAUGGUGUAGCGGUGAAAUGCUUAAAGAUCAUACAGAACACCGAUUGCGAAGGCAGCUUACCAAACUAUAUCUGACGUUGAGGCACGAAAGCGUGGGUAGCAAACAGG
rnacentral:rRNA from 1 species